rnacentral:lncRNA from 1 species
AGAAUUUCACAAACUUAUAUUUGCCAUGUGAUAUAAAAAAUUGAGGAUUUGAGAAGUAGCAAUCAAUACUAAUCUCAGAGUAAUGAAUCCACUAAAAAUUUUCUGAAACAACAAUUCUUCACAGGACAGACCUUUGCCUCCACUUACUUAAUAAGCAUAUUUGCUAAAUGCUAUUGGCAUCCUUCAUCAUGCCAACUUCUUGAAGCAUCACCUGCCAUUUCUUCUGCUUGAGUGUGCAAUAUUUGAUGUUUCAAUCAAUCUAUCUUACUCAAGAUGGCCUUGACCAAGCACUCUUAAUUUCCAUUACACAUCCAACCUCAUGCAGUCAUGCUUUAAACUUUAACUUCAAAUCUAGUUGGAACAAAAAAAAUCAACAUUUUUUGGAAACAAAUGAGAGACAUGUUACAUGUAGGAAUGACUAUUUAGUUUAGAUUUAAUCAAAAGUUACAUAAAAACCUGAUUUCUAAGCCUUCUCCAGUUAAACAAGGCAUCCUUUAUGAGGCAAAAAACAGAGAUUUGUGUAGGUUCCUUAUAUUAUAAUAUAGCAAAAGUACCUAUAGUAGUAUAGUGUAUCAUAUAUACUCAUAACAAGUGUCACUUGUGUAACUUCUGGUUCUAGUUUUUUAUGUCGAGAAACACAAUUAGAGCAAUUGGUAUUUGUUACCUUCCUGGCAUGAGAUGGGCAAGGUCCUGGUUUUCAUAAAAUGCAGCAAUGCCCCAGUCUACAGUUGAGGGUGAUUUUGUCAUUAAACCUACUACUAUUAAAAAGAAAAAAAGAACGCUAAUACUAUUUACUGGUUGCUUAAUAAACCAAAGGCAUGAAAACUUUGAUUGUCUUCCUAGUUUUACUUGUAUAGUUUCCUAAAUUCCUGUAAUUGUAAAGGUACGUGAAAAUGUUAUGUUUCCACUUGUAGUUGUAGGCAUUGGAUAUAGCAUUUUCAUGACGUGACUAUGCUUAUUUGAUAAAACUUAUUUUAUGUUGGAGCUUACGCAUGAUUUUUGGAACCGGGUUGACGAAUUCUCUAUGAUUUUGAUUUUAUGUGAAAUAUAGGAAUGGGUGACAUAUUUUUUUGUUGCUAAACAAUAGUUUUAGGCGAGAUCUUUACACAAAUAGCUGACCUAUUUCACUGUUUGCUUUUUCUAGCCCGUAUACACUUAUUAUGCACUAAUUUUGAGCGUGUUGCCCAUGUCAUGAGUAAACAAUUUUUAAAAAAUCACAGAAGUAGUUGUUCUCAAAUUUUUAUUGCAGUAUAAUAUCUAGUGAAUAUUAUUGUUAUAUUUAUGCUCUAAUUAAUACCAAAAACAAACAAAUAACAGACAAAAAUACUUUAUCACGAUGAACAUGGACUACGCUAUAAUGACAAAAGUAUUAUUUUCAAGAAAAUAAUGACAUAAAUAAUGUGUAUACAAUAAUUUAAAUAUUUAAUUUGGAAGAAAGUGUACAUUGAAUGGAACUUUGGGUUGUUUUAUCAGAUUAAGAUAUGUGCGUGCCUAAUUUGUAUGCCUACGUACAAUAAAAAGAAUUGUUUGGUUUAUGUAAGGUGAAAGUUUAACCGAUUAAAGUAUUAUAUAUUAAUAUUUCUUACAUGGUUCAAUAAUGAUCAAAAAUUUUAGUUGAUUUAAAGUCUUAAAUAUUAGAAAAUUAACUUAAAUUAUAAUUUUGUCCAAUGUGAAACCUAUUUUUAAUAGGUAAAAAAAGACGACAUAUUUCACUAAAGGGCUACGUGUUUUUGAUAUAGUAUAAAUAUAAAUAUAAAUUUAAAAUAUAUUAUACAUUCGUCGGUUAAUUUUAGUUAAAUAAUUGAAUAGGCUGCUAUUGGUUAACGCACAAUCAUAUAUAGUAUGACUCUAUUACAAAUACACGCUUUCUAUUUUGGAAAGAGAUAUAGAGGUGCAUCCCGUCUCAGAAAAAAAGAAAAAAAAGAAAGAAGAAGAAGGUGCAUCCCAGUAUUUCAAAAUCAAAUACUUAAACCUAUUAUGUAAUGAAAAGCCUACACAAAGGAAUUGAUGUUAGUUUAACCAAGUAAACUGAAAAUGCUUAAGCAAGCCAAAAUAAUAUUAUAUAUUAUAUAUAAUGUUUUAAGUUUUUAAAAUACAAAUAGCUUACAUAUCUAGAGUGCAAAAAGUAUUUUUUUCUAGCAAUUGAUAUAGUAUUAAGUUAUUUGUGGAUAUUUCCGAUUUAAAGGUUUUGAAAAGUACUUGUUUUAAAAAAAAUCGUUUACUCUCUCUCUUUUUAUUAAUCAAAGACAUGUGAAAAAAGAUUUUCUAGUGGGUGAAAAAGAUGUUUGUUCUCGAUCUUAAUUAGAUUUCAUAGAAUUAAAUAUACAUGAUUUUCCUAUUUGUCAUUUUAAUUUUUUUUUAGUUACAAAUACACACCUUUUUUCAAAACUAAACACUUACACACUUGUAAAAUUAGAAAUAUUAAUCAAACUAAUAUUUGGGUAGGAUUUCCAUGAUAACGGGGGUGUAAUUUACCUUUUAUGGCUUUGAUUCAAUCACAUUUCUAAAAAACGUACCAAAAACAAUAUAUCUUUAAUGCCGAUUUGAUUGUAUAAUUCCUUUUCUUGGCAUUAUUUUCCUAAAAAAGAUAAAUAAAUAACUAGAGAAAUUAUUAGGUUGGAAUAAUAAAAAUUUACUAUCUGCUUAAAGAAAAAGCAGAAAUUGUUUCCGUGUAUCCUCUAAAGCUUGGAAGAAAAAAAAAGUUUGAACUUACCAUAUUUUGUUAUUUAACUACUUUUAGUGUUUUCCUAAAUGAAAACGACUUAGUAUUCUACAAACGUGAACGCCAAGUAUCACUUGUAUAAAUACCUUAGGUCACUUCAACGUUUUGCAUAAAACACAGCUCCAUCAAUUCUUUGUUUGAACUCGCUUCCCUAAUUAAUGGUAGCCGCUGCUGCUUGUUGCUUUUGUCACUAUUAUUUUCCUG